rnacentral:rRNA from 1 species
UAAGACGAACCGUGCAAACGUUGUUCGGAAUCACUGGGCUUAAAGGGCGCGUAGGCGGGUCUCCCAGUCUGUGGUGAAAGCCCCCGGCUCAACCGGGGAAGUGCCGUGGAUACUGGAGACCUCGAGGAGGGUAGGGGCAUCUGGAACGGUCGGUGGAGCGGUGAAAUGCGUUGAUAUCGACCGGAACUCCGGUGGCGAAGGCGAGGUGCUGGACCCUUUCUGACGCUGAGGCGCGAAAGCCAGGGGAGCAAACGGGAUUAGAUACCCCGGUAGUCCUGGCCCUAAACGUUGAGGACUAGGUAGUGGACUUACAUGGGUUCACUGUCGAAGCAAAAGUGCUAAGUCCUCCGCCUGGGGAGUAUGGUCGCAAGGCUG